UACGUAGGCAGCGAGCGUUGUUCGGAAUUACUGGGCGUAAAGAGUGUGUAGGCGGUGCUCCCAGUCUGUUGUGAAAUCUCCCGGCUUAACUGGGAGGGUGCAGCGGAAACUAGAGUGCUAGAGGGUGGGAGAGGUAAGCGGAAUUCCUGGUGUAGCGGUGAAAUGCGUAGAUAUCAGGAGGAACACCUGUGGUGUAGACAGCUUACUGGACCUCUUCUGACGCUGAGACACGAAAGCGUGGGUAGCAAACAGG
rnacentral:rRNA from 1 species